AGUUUCGAUCCUGGCUCAGAUUGAACGCUGGCGGGAUGCUUUACACAUGCAAGUCGAACGGCAAAAAUGGACUCGGUCUGGUGGCAAGUGGCGAACGGGUGAGUAAUGUAUCGGAACGUGCCUAGUAGCGGGGGAUAAUCUACGCGAAAGCGUAGCUAAUACCGCAUACGCCCUUCGGGGGAAAGCGGGGACCUUUCGGGCCUCGCACUAUUAGAGCGGCCGAUAUCGGAUUAGCUAGUUGGUGGGGUAACGGCUCACCAAGGGCGACGAUCCGUAGCUGGUUUGAGAGGACGACCAGCCACACUGGGACUGAGACACGGCCCAGACUCCCACGGAGGCAGCAGUGGGGAAUUUUGGACAAUGGGGGAACCUGGAUCCAGCCAUCCGCGUGCGAUGAAGGCCUUCGGGUUGUAAAGCACUUUUGGCAGGAAGAAACGGCACGGGAUAAUACCCCGUGCAACUGACGGUACCCGCAGAUGAAGCACCGGCUAACUACGUGCCAGCAGCCGCGGUAAUACGUAGGGUGCAAGCGUUAACGGAAUUACUGGGCGCGUAAACGUGCGCAGGCGGUUCGGAAAGAAAGAUGUGAAAUCCCAGAGCUUAACUUUGGAACUGCAUUUUUAACUACCGAAUAGAGUGUGUCAGAGGGAGGUAGAAUUCCGCGUGUAGCAGUGAAAUGCGUAGAUAUGCGGAGGAACACCGAUGGCGAAGGCAGCCUCCUGGAUAACACUGACGCUCAUGCACGAAAGCGUGGGGAGCAAACAGGAUUAGAUACCCUGGUAGUCCACGCCCUAAACGAUGUCAACUAGCUGUUGUGGGGCCUUCGGCCUUGGUAGCGCAGCUAACGCGUGAAGUUGACCGCCUGGGGAGCAUGGUCGCAAGAUUAAACUCAAAGAAUUGACGGGGACUCGCACAAAGCGGUGGAUGAUGUGGAUUACCUGAUGCAACGCGAAAACCUUACCUACUCCUUGACAUGUUCGGAAUCCCGAAGAGAUUUGGAGUGCUCGCAAGAGAACCGGAACACAGGUGCUGCAUGGCUGUCAGCUCGUGUCGUGAGAUGUUGGGUUAAGUCCCGCAACGAGCGCAACCCUUGUCAAUAGUUGCUACGAAAGGGCACUCUAUCGAGACUGCCGGUGACAAAACCGGAGGAAGGUGAUGACGUCAAGUCCUCAUGGCCCCUUAUGGGUAGGGCUUCACACGUCAUACAAUGGUCGGGACAGAGGGUCGCUAACCCGCGAGGGGGAGCUAAUCCCAGAAACCCGAUCGUAGUCCGGAUCGCAGUCUGCAACUCGACUGCGUGAAGUCGGAAUCGCUAGUAAUCGCGGAUCAGCAUGUCGCGGUGAAUACGUUCCGGGUCUUGUACACACUGCCCGUCACACCAUGGGAGUGGGUUUACCAGAAGUAGUUAGCCUAACCGCAAGGAGGCGAUUACCACGGUAGGAUUCAUGACUGGGGUGAAGUCGUAACAAGGUAGCCCUGUUACUA
rnacentral:rRNA from 1 species